UCGUGUGUUAGUGCUUUGUGUUCUGGCCGAACUUCCAAUCGAAUUGGCUAUUCUUCAUUGACUGGUCAGUUGUCUUGAUUCAUUUACUUUAUCAAACUUACAGCUAAUAACGCAGGCUUUAUGCUAUGACAGCAUUAGCAUGGAAUAAUAAUUUAGGACUCCGUAUCGAUUUUGUUGCUGUCUAGGACUGAAGUGAUGAUUCAAAGGGAUAGUUGGCGGUGCUCGUGUUCAGCGGCCUCAGUCGAAAUUCUCGGAUUCGCUGAAGACUAACUUACGCGAAAGCGUUCACCAAGGAUGUCUUCUUUAAUCAAGAACGAAAGUUGGGGGAUCGAAGACGAUCAGAUACCGUCGUAGUCUCAACCAUAAACUAUGCCGACUAGGGAUGUGUGAACGUUGCAUUUU
rnacentral:rRNA from 1 species